AUAGAGGUGGUGUGUAUAUAGAGGUGGUGUGUGUAUAGAGGUGGUGUGUGUAUAGUGUGUAUAUAGAGGUGGUGUGUGUAUAGUGUGUAUAGAGGUGGUGUGUGUAUAGUGUGUAUAUAGAGGUGGUGUGUAUAUAGUGUGUAUAUAGAGGUGGUGUGUAUAGUGUGUAUAUAGAGGUGGUGUGUGUAUAGUGUGUAUAGAGGUGGUGUGUGUAUAGUGUGUAUAUACAGGUGGUGUGUGUAUAGUGUGUAUAUAGAGGUGGGGUGUAUAUAGUGUGUAUAGAGGUGGUGUGUGUAUAAAGGUGGUGUGUGUAUAGUGUGUGUAUAUAGAGGUGGUGUGUGUAUAUAGAGGUGGUGUGUGUAUAGAGGUGGUGUGUGUAUAGUGUGUAUAUAGAGGUGGUGUGUGUAUAGUGUGUAUAGAGGUGGUGUGUGUAUAGGGUGUAUAGAGGUGGUGUGUAUAGAGGUGGUGUGUGUAUAGUGUGUAUAUAGAGGUGGUGUGUAUAGAGGUGGUGUGUGUAUAGUGUGUAUAUAGAGGUGGUGUGUGUAUAGUGUGUAUAUAGAGGUGGUGUGUGUAUAGAGGUGGUGUGUGUAUAGUGUGUAUAUAGAGGUGGUGUGUGUAUAGAGGUGGUGUGUGUAUAGUGUGUAUAGAGGUGGUGUGUGUAUAGUGUGUAUAUAGAGGUGGUGUGUAUAUAGAGGUAGUGUGUGUAUAGAGGUGGUGUGUGUAUAGUGUGUAUAGAGGUGGUGUGUGUAUAGUGUGUAUAUAGAGGUGGUGUGUGUAUAGUGUGUAUAUAGAGGUGGUGUGUGUAUAGUGUGUAUAUAGAGGUGGUGUGUAUAUAGAGGUGGUGUGUGUAUAGAGGUGGUGUGUGUAUAGUGUGUAUAGAGGUGGUGUGUGUAUAGUGUGUAUAUAGAGGUGGUGUGUGUAUAGUGUAUAUAGAGGUGGUGUGUGUAUAGUGUGUAUAGUGUGUAUAGAGGUGGUGUGUGUAUAGUGUGUAUAUAGAGGUGGUGUGUGUAUAGUGUGUAUAGAGGUGGUGUGUGUAUAGUGUGUAUAUAGAGGUGGUGUGUAUAUAGAGGUGGUGUGUAUAUAGAGGUGGUGCGUAUAUAGUGUAUAUAGAGGUGGUGUGUGUAUAUAGAGGUGGUGUGUGUAUAGUGUAUAUAUAGAGGUGGUGUGUAUAUAGAGGUGGUGUGUAUAUAGAGGUGGUGUGUAUAUAGUGUAUAUAGAGGUGGUGUGUGUAUAGUGUGUAUAGAGGUGGUGUGUAUAUAGAGGUGGUGUGUAUAUAGAGGUGGUGUGUGUAUAGUGUGUGUAUAGAGGUGGUGUGUGUAUAGUGUGUAUAUAGAGGUGGUGUGUAUAUAGUGUGUAUAUAGUGUGUAUAUAGAGGUGGUGUGUGUAUAGUGUGUAUAGAGGUGGUGUGUGUAUAGUGUGUAUAGAGGUGGUGUGUAUAUAGAGGUGGUGUGUAUAUAGUGUGUAUAGAGGUGGUGUGUGUAUAGUGUGUAUAUAGAGGUGGUGUGUGUAUAGUGUGUAUAUAGAGGUGGUGUGUGUGUAGUGUGUGUAUAGAGGUGGUGUGUGUAUAUAGAGGUGGUGUGUGUAUAGUGUGUAUAUAGAGGUGGUGUGUGUAUAGUGUGUGUAUAGAGGUGGUGUGUGUAUAGUGUGUAUAUAUAGGUGGUGUGUGUAUAGAGGUGGUGUGUGUAUAGUGUGUGUAUAGAGGUGGUGUGUGUAUAGUGUGUGUAUAGAGGUGGUGUGUAUAGUGUGUGUAUAGAGGUGGUGUGUGUAUAGUGUGUAUAUUGAGGUGGUGUGUGUAUAGUGUGUAUAGAGGUGGUGUGUGUAUAGUGUGUAUAUAGAGGUGGUGUGUGUAUAGUGUGUAUAUAGAGGUGGUGUGUGUAUAGUGUGUAUAUAGAGGUGGUGUGUGUAUAGUGUGUGUAUAGAGGUGGUGUGUGUAUAGUGUGUAUAUAGAG
rnacentral:lncRNA from 1 species